UGGGAGAGGAGUGGGCGUGGUGGGGCCAGGAAAAGACCCAGCUCUUGGUGGCAGUCAUGGCCUUCACCGGUGGUUGGGGUGGGGGGGAGAGAGAGAGAGAGAGAGAGGGGUGUACAACUGCAGGUGGGAAUGUGAUGGGCCCCACUUUGACCGCAGCGCGUGGCUACGCGGCGCGCCGUCAGAUCACCGCCGCAACCGCGGGUUUCCACGCUUGGAUUCUUUCCUCGAUGGCAGUCUACAUAUCUAUAAAAAUAGAACACCAUCUAAUCUUUAUUAAAAAAAUACCCCUUAAAUAGUCGCAAAAUAAAAUAGAUAAAGAAAAAUUGGGUUUUUGUUAAAAAAUCCAACCUCCUCUGAGACGGCUUCCCCUCGAAAGCCGGACCAAAGUAUGAGCAACGAUCGCCGCAUUUUCUUCCUUUUUUAUUGAGAAGAAAAAUGUGACCCAAGCCUUCAGAUCAGGAAAUUGGUCAGCAGAGUCAACCCUACGAACAUACUUUCCAGAACUGGUCGCAUGGUCAAUCUUCGAAAAAGUCAACGCUCAUGAGGAGCACCAACCAGCUGGUUC
rnacentral:lncRNA from 1 species